rnacentral:lncRNA from 1 species
CAUCCAAAAAGAACUGCACUUCUGGCCUCCAAAUUGUUAAAAAAGAUGUGUCACUUGAAUCCUAAUACAGACUUGAAUUGAAUUUGAGGGUGUUUCUUGAAGUCGUAGACCAAUUAAAUAAAUCAGAUAGCUUUUUGAUAAAAGGCUGUAAAUAAAACUUGGGGGUUUAUUCGUAUUUUGGAACCAAAUACCUGAGGGCAUGGUUAAGAAAAUCUAGAGCAUGGGGAAUUGAAACCAAUAAUUAAAAUGUACUACAGCACACUGUGUUUUGAAACUUAUUACUUCCAAAUGAAACAAUCUUGAACUACUCUAUUUUGAGUGAUUUCAGGAAGUUGAAAAAGUUGAGGUGAUUAUUCUUUUUACAAGCUGGCUGUGCAGUUACAGACCACAGUCGAAAAGUUUGAAUUCCUUGUCAAAAUCCAAAGUGGUUUUAGUUAAAAUAUAUUGCCUAACUUACCCAAUCCAUCAUCUUCUGAAUUAAUGCCAUGGAAACAUCUAGGAUUAUUAAUUAUUAGGACCACACUUCAGGUAAAUGACUAAACUAAGGGUCAUUUGAAAAAAGUGAACUGUGUCUUGGUCUGAGAGUCUAUUUGCAGUCCUCCCUAGGAAACGUAUAAAUUUUCAAAACUUUAAUUAUGCUUAAAGGGACACUUUUAUUUCUGGAGAGAAAUGACAAAUGAGGAGUAAAACAAAGUAGGAAAUUCUGAUUUUGCUUCAUUGUUAUUGUACCCUUCUUUUACAGAGCAGGGGAGGACACAACAUGGGCAUGAAGUACUUGAACGUUACCAGUACUUUGCUACAGGAAGGAAGCCGUCACCCCUGGAUCGCGUGCUACCGUCAGGAAGAUGGGUUAGGGAGUGCCGAGCAUAAAGAAACAGCCAAGAAGAUGCAAAACCAAGAGGUAAAGAUGCCAGCAGCCUGUCAACCAUUGCUGCAGUUACGGACACCUGGAAAAAUUGAGGCUUGUGCUCACCAUCCGAGCAUCUCUGGAAAAUGAGUGAGUGUGAACCCAAUUUGUUGUGCUGGGUGGGACGGUUAAGGGUCGGCAUUACUAUAUGGCUGAUGGCCAUGUUUAAGGGUCUGGUGGUCCAGUUCCUUGUGCAGACUAUGGGCCCUUUGGGCAAAGUGCUUCUGUCUCCACUUCCAGUAAUCUGUCCUGCCAGGUAAACUGAAGCCAUCUUUGACCCCAUAAUGGUAAUUAGAGAUCACAGCAUGAAAUAUCAGUGCUUAAUAAUGAUAACUAGAAGGUGUUCAUUGGCACAUACAAACCUCAGGAUGGCAGGAUGGCGGUAAAAUGCCCAACAUUUUUGGUCCUAAAUGUGUUGCUAUUUUAAACAAAGAAAGGAAACUGAUGGCAAUAAGAUAUCUCCUGAGACAUGGAUGCUUCUCUGGCUCCCCAUUUUACCCAUUAAGGACAAGAUUUGCUAGUCAUCUAGCAGUAACCGACUAGUUUUCUUUCACAGUUUAAAGUCAUCAGCGAGGGUAAGGUGAACAAAAUGAACCAAAACGAACCAAAAUGAACCAAAACGAACCAAAAUGAACCACUGGUUUCCAAUUCAACUAGGAUACCUUCUUGGUGUCUUUCUAAUACAUUCUACAUCACAGUAGAAUGUGUCUACCCUAACACAUUGUUUAAGAUUUCUUUAUUCUUGAUCUUUUAAUCAUGAUCUGGAUUCAGUUAUACCAUCAUGAAAUACACACCAUUUAUCGAACACUUACUCUGUAUCAGGUAUUGGGUCAAGUCCCACAAAUGUAUUUUCUUAUUCAUUCUUUCCACAACGUCUAAGGUAGAUUCUAGUUUUAUUCCCAUUUUACAUGAGAAAAUUGAAGCUUAGAGUUCUCAGUGAUUUGCUUAAUUUAACAUUAUGCGUUUAACUAUUACACUGUACUUCUCCAGACGAACCAUGCAGUCUGGCUACCCAAACUCAGGAUCUCUUCACAGACAUGGUUAUCUUUGUUUCUUGACACUAAUAUCUGUGAGCCAGAGUUGCAGCUGUAGGCGAUGGCAGGUACAACUCAAGAACUAGAGCUCAUUUGCCUCCGUUUUUAUCCAAAAGUCGCAGAAGCAGGUGGGUGGGGUUCAUGCUAUUUCCAGCCUCUAAGUAAGUACUGAUGAACCAUUCUCAAAGAAAUGAUGCAGAGCCCUUUGCUGUGGUGUCUUUUGGGCAAGAUAUGGAUUUGAGCCAAAAUGCCUUCUGUUUCUCUGUCAGAUGUACAAAAAUAAAGGAUAUAUGGAAAAUAAAACA